rnacentral:rRNA from 1 species
UACGUAGGGGGCAAGCGUUAUCCGGAUUUACUGGGUGUAAAGGGAGCGUAGACGGCUGUGCAAGCCAGAUGUGAAAGCCCGGGGCUCAACCCCGGGACUGCAUUUGGAACUGUGUAGCUGGAGUGUCGGAGAGGCAGGCGGAAUUCCUAGUGUAGCGGUGAAAUGCGUAGAUAUUAGGAGGAACACCAGUGGCGAAGGCGGCUUACUGGACGAUGACUGACGCUGAGGCUCGAAAGCGUGGGGAGCAAACAGG